UAAUAAUCUAGGCUCCCAAGGAUCGUAGAGUUCACAGGGAGAGCGGCCAGGCUGUAGAGAAGAAACAGAUCCCGGAGCACUCUGAAUCUCUGUAGAGGAAGUGCCCCCAUACCUGGGAAAUGGCUUCCAAAGAACAAGAGACUCAACCAACACCCCUGUUCCACAGCCACAAAGAACUUGAGCUUUCUGGUGGUGAACUGGACAUGGAAGUUGUUUUUACCAACAGGAGAAGAGGAAGAGUAACAGUUAUAAAGGGAAUUGACAGCAAGUUGGCUCAUCGGUUGCCAGGGAAACCAGCAGAGAGGUGGUGGAGAGGGAAAAUUCAAAGUGUGUUUGUUGCUGAGUACGGGCUUUCUCUAGUUGCGGUGACGGGGCUUCUCAUCGCAGUGGCUUCUCUUGUGGAGAAAGGGCUUUUGGCACCAGGGCUUUAUGGGAUUAGUUGCUCCACGGCAUGUGGAAUCUUCCUGGACCAGCGAUCAAACCCGUGUCCCCUGAAUUAUCAGGUGAAUUCUUAACCACUGAACCACCAGGGAAGUCCCAAGAAUGUUCCAUCUUUCAGUUCUGUUUGAUGUAAACAGUUGCACCUACAACAAGAUACUAACAGUCAGGUACCAAGAGGAAUUUUGAAAGAUACUCUAUAUAAAUAUAGGAAUUGCCCAAGCAAGCACUAAAACCUAUAGGC
ensembl:lncRNA